AUACUUAACCUGGCUGGGGAGAUACCAUGAUCAUGAAGGUUGUUUUCCCAGGGAGAGACUUAGUGCACUCUGGAUGCGCUGACCGCUGUGAUUUCCCCAAACGUGGGAAACUCAACUGCAUAAUUUGUAGUAGCAGGGGACUGUGUUCACACUUUCUCCUU